AAGAUCUCAGUAGGAAAAUAUCAAGUGGUACAAGUGUUGUAGAGGGAUAAUCUUGCCUCAUGUAGAGAAAUAAGAAUUGUACAGAUUAUGGCUCUGUUCAAUAUUUAAACAGAAAUAUUCAUUUUACAUUUUUAAUGCAUCUAGCUCUGUUAGUACUGAAAUGUCACAUAAAAAAUUAACAGCAAUAUACUCCCUCAUCAAAAGAACCAGGGAGAUAUUUUCCCUGGAUGAAACUGCCAUGCUGUUUUUCUUUCACUGUCAGAGGGGAAACUCUGAAUAAGGAAAUGCAUCACUGAAUUGGGUUUUGGUUAUGUUAUUGUUAAAGUAAGCAUUUGAUUAGAGAGUGAAGAAGAGAUGGUUGUAGAGUGAGAAAUCUGUGAUAGUGCAGCUUUUUAUUUAAAUACGGCGUUUUAUUUUGAACAUAUGUUGAACAAGCAGGAUGGAUAAAUCAAAGAGGCUGUUUCCAUUAUACGCACAUUAUAUUAGUGCAAUCAGUGGGCUGAAUCUCUAGUGGUAUAUUACAUGCCUAGGAAUGCUUGCAUGAACUUUGGCCAGCUAGCAUGGGUUGGCCUGUGCCUGUACGAAUGAACUCUCUUGGCCCUCAGGACUGAGUGCUCAUAUCCAGUCUGCCUAAUGCGAAUGAUCAUGGUGAUGCUCUGUCUCCCAGACUGUGCCUGGAAACUGGGAGGAUGUGAGUUGGCAGAAGCUUGAAGCAUGCAGAGGAACAUGCUAAUGCCUUAACAAUAUUUUACAGUGAAAAUUAUCGAUCCUUCUUUUUUGCCCCAAGUUGUAAAAUACAGUGUCCUUGAAAAACGCAAACUGCCUGGGGAAGCUGUCUGGACUGACUGGAUUGUUAGUGGAAGAAGUUAGCCAGUACCUCUGAUCAGGUCCAAGGUCAAACUGGGAACUUGAGUUUACAGGAUCUGGGUCAGAAUCAGGAGGUGGGAAGCUGGAUGCAGGUCAUAUUGGCAGCAUAGCUCAGCCAAGAGAGCAAGGGCAAGACCUAAGCUCGAAGGCAUCUCUUGGGCAAAGGAGAAUCUGGCAGGAAUCUGCUCAGUCUUCUCACAGCUCUCUUUCAAGGCUCCACAGCUGCACUGUCAAAACUGGUCCUGAGCCCAAGCAGCCAGGCCCUCUGGAAAGGCAAGAGGCAGUCAGAGCUCUGACAGCUACAUCAUUCUUGUAACUGUACAGCAAACUCAAAUUUCCUCCUCCUACUGCCAUUAUAAUGUAAAUUCCAUAGAUUCCACCAGACAUACCUCUUUCUUUUGGCAAAGGAUAUCCAGAAGUCAGUUUUCUGUAAAUUACAAAAUUUAAAGGGGGAGAGGUAAAGGGAAUAAAGGGAUGGAGGCUCCUUAGUGUUGUAGAAGAGCAGAUGUUAAUAGUGCCUUUAACCUUAGAAAUCUUUUGAUAAUUAAACCUUUUGAUAUUUCUGGUAUCAAUAAAUCUCUAUGUCUCAUAAAGCUUUCCCAUGGCUUAGUGAAUGGUAGCAUUACAGUCUUUUCAAAGUCAGAUUGUCCUCCUUUCUCCUGGACUGAGAAAAUUACAUGGGUACCUUCGGCUACUGCCCUAGCUGGAUAGUGGCCUCAGAGACAAAAUGACAGAAAUUUUGCUCAUAAGCAAAAUCAAAAUGGUAAUUGAGCACAAAUAUUGGUUUGUGGAACUGUUAGGAGCAGGCUCCAUUCAAAGCUUGAUUUAGAGUUGUGUAGAAGCAGUUUAACACUAUUUUUCAUAUAUCUUGUUCUACUGAAUUGUUUUCAUGGGUUUCUACAGCUGUUCGCUCUUGUUCCAAACUGUAUAUAACAAGUGGAAAUGUUCUUUUGAGUACUCCAUUUCACUACCCUGUUACUUUAUAUAAUUCAGUCUGGUUUGCAUGUUUCCUUAACUGAAAUGUAUCAACUAUUCAUAAAUUUCUGUUUGCAUAUUCUAGAUAAUCAGAAAUAUGCUUACUAUAUGUGAAAUAAAUAUGCCAUGCCCAAACCUAUCAUCUUUGGCCAAAUACUGGACUCUGAGGUGCAAGACUGAAGCUGUUGACUCAAUGAGUUAUGACUUUCUCAAUGCUAAACAAGCGUUAAAAUUACAAUAUUACAAAUGAGUGUUUAAUAGUUUUGCAAUGAUUACAGUAAAAUUCAAGGUUUUGUCCACAAAAUACCUCCAAGGAGGAAUGAAUUACCAGGUUGUGUUACUGUGUAGUGUUGAUGGCGCUAAUUGGAUUGCAGAGCUGGCAUAUUUACCAUAACCUAUAUUAGAACAGAAUGGAAGUAAAUAAAUAAAGACAAUUAUAAUAUUGUCAAUUUUGGUGGAGUUUCUAUGCUAGUUACCUACUGAUUACUAAGUGGUUAUACCCAAAUAUAUAUUGCUCAAGAAUGGAAAGAGGACUGUGCUUGGAACAUGUAAACUUCUGCUUGUCUUCACUAGUUGACUUUCACACAACAUUUUGUCUGAAUUUUUAAGUAAUUUAAAAUUAGUAGAACAAUAGUUUAUGUGACUCAGCUCCGCCUUAUAGUUCUUUGUGACAGCAACAAUUGAGUAGAGUUUUGGGGAAUUUGCUGUUACCUGAACCCACAGGACUGCUCUUUGUAGACAGCAGUUAUCUAUGUUAGGGCCUUUAUAGUAAUUAAUAAAUAAACCCAUUAUAAGGAUGGGAUUUUCUCGCAAAACUUUGACUCUACUGUUAUAUAAUAGACAAGCAUAAUGGCAUUGUAUGAACUGGUGCCUAUUUAUUCAAUCUCUGCAUUUGCAAUCUUAGUUUUUAAUCUAAAAACAAUUAAGAAAACAAAACAAAA